UACGCCGUAAACGAUGGAUACUAGCAUUCGGAGGUGUCGACCCCUUCGGUAGCGAAGCUAACGCGUUAAGUAUCCCGCCUGUGUAGUACGAGCGCAAGCUUAAAACAUAAAGGAAUUGACGGGGACCCGCACAAGCGGUGGAGCGUGUUCUUUAAUUCGAGGCUAAGCGAAGAACCUUACCAGGGCUUGAAAUCCUGCGAAGGUUUGCGAAAGCAGACUGUGCCUUUUAGGAACGCAGUGACAGGUGC
rnacentral:rRNA from 1 species